CUGCUUAAACUUGCUGCAACUGUUUUCCGAUACUUCAAAUGAACCACAAACAUAUCCUGUGCAUACUAUACUAGCGUCAUGGUUGAAUUUUCACAUUUACAAUAGUGCACCUGUACAGCAGGUGACUUUUUCAUAGAUCUAAAUCAAACAGAUUGCAGAAUCUAAAAGCCCUUUACAGUAUCUUUACACUUAUAAAAAUGUUUAACUUUAAAAACUUAAAGUUUAGGAGGAAGAAAAAAUCAGCCAGCGAUAAAGAUGAGCAGUAUCGUCUAGUGAAAGGCAUGCCAACACAUGACACAGAGACCACGGAUGCAGGAGAACAGGAAAGCACAGUCGACUCUGGAAUGCCAUCCUGUUCAGGUGUUGAAGUGAGUGGCGAGACAGGGCUUAAUAUUCUCAGAACAAUUCUGAGUGAACAAUUAAACCCAGCUGCAAUGCCGAAAAACUUUUCUCAAGAAUGGCGCCACAGGUACCUUGAAGAAAUAGAUCAGUUUGUGGAAAACAACUUUCCCAAGCUGCCAGCAGAGGGACCACAAAUAUCUCAGUUAGAGCAAAUAAAGGACUUUCAAAAGAGAACACAGAGCACGAUAUAUGAUGAGGUGCUUCGAUUAACACCUGCACUGAAAGAUGCUGGGCUGCUAGAUCAUCUGAUGGACUGCUACAGCCGUCACCUCUUUACCAACCUGGACCUGCUGCUAAACAGAGAUCUGUCUGUGAAAGAGAUCUUCUGCCUUCUACUGUGGGGAAAAGAUUUUUUCUUCAGUUCAGAAUCAAAACUGAGAGUGUACGAUCCUCUGCUGUUGACAGGAGGGUUUGAGUGUGCAAAGCAGAAACUACUGCAAGUACUUAAGGGUGACAUCUCCAAGUGUCUACAGAAAAUCCUGUGCGAAGAUGAGGAACAUGGACAUAAUAAGGAAUCAAUGGAUGAAGAAACUUUCCUCCAAGUGCACAUAGAUGUCAUUCAGGUCCUGAAUUGUACUAUUGUUGAAGCUGAAAAGGUUGGUCUGACUUUGAUGCAUGCCGUACAAAUACUCUGUAGUGGAGAGCUGCAUGAUUUUGUUCGGAAGUAUGUGGAUGCUAAGAAUGAACAUCUUAAAAAACUAAAGUUUACAGAGAAAAACUCUGUGAAUCUCUUUCGGCUAAUCAACACCUGCAUGCAACUCAGAUGCUAUGCUGCACAAAUCACUCCAGAUGUAAGCAACAGUGAUGUCUACUCAAGCACUAUAUGCAUGCUACAGAAACUGGAAGAUAAAGCUUCAUCCAUUGUACAAAAUAUCAUGAACUGCUUAGCACAGGCUAAAUUAGAAAGUUUUUUCAAGAAAAGGAAUGGGCAUAUUGAUAUCCUAAUGGAGGCAAUCCAAAAGCAGUGUGCAUCUCUGCCUGAGACUGCCUCAGAGAUCAAAACGGUCAUUGUGAAAAUAGCUUACGACAGUGUUUCCAAAGUGUACCUGGAUUGCCUGAUGAAGACAAACUUCAGAAACCUAGAGCAGCGUUGGGGAAAUGCUGAGGAAAAGAUAAAAGAGGAUGUUCAAUAUUUUCAAGAAACAUUCUCUGAACUGAAUGUCAGUGCUAACCAGCAGAACCAGCUCCUUCAGAGAAUGAGUGAAGUUUUGCUUUGCAGUGAUGUAGAAGCACUGAAGAUUACCUGUUGCAAUUUGUUGAGAGAUUUCCCUCAGGAGAGUAAGCAGUAUGUACCUGGUCUGCUGCGCUGGAAGGGGGUUUUAUCAGAGCGACAGGUGAGGGAAGUGCUGGAUGUGACCCAGGACCUCGGCCUCAAUCUACAGCCUAGACGCGUCACCUGUCAGCCUCUGAAGGGACUUUUUUGUUUUCUUUGAUGUGAAUAACAACAUCAGCCAGAACUGUAAAAUCUUUGUUUAAGUUUAAUUCGAUGACAUGACUGUUUUGUGUUAUUCAUUUAUGAUAUUUAUGUUAUACUGGUACAUAGAUAUUUUCAUCAGAUAUUGUAAUAUUUGCUUUUCCCUGAUGACUUUUUGAUGUUACUUGAAAAUAGGAAAUAAUUUUUAUAUCAGACCACUGGAGAAAAAUGAAUUACCCUUUACUCUUUACCCUUUUAAUCUUUUAUAUGAUAAUUUAAUUUUCACAGAGUUACUCAUUUUGACUUCUACCUUUUACAUUGUUACAAAAGAGGAUUGUAACAACAUGUCCAGCUACUGUAUGAACCUAAAUUAUUGUUAUAUUAUUUAAAUGUUCAGUCAGGACCACUCUGUUUGAUUAAGAUUACUGUAGAGGUCCUGAACAUUAUUUUUGGCGACAGGCUUUACGCUCAAGGGUUCAGAGUCUGAGCUGUCCACAAGCAAACCUCACUGAGGUGUAAACCCCGAAGCCUAAUGCAAUUACCAGAUAUAAAAUUCCAUCCAGAAGUGAUACAAGUCUGUAAAUGAGUCUGGACAAGAUUAAACAAUUAGCUGAUGGAUGAUCUCAUGCGCCUGCAGGGUGAGCGACAGACCAAGGCAAGUGUGACUUUGAAAGAACUUAUAUAGAAUAUAUAUCUUAUUUAAUUGUAGUGGGAGGAGUUGCUGAUGCUGGCUGUCACGCCAUGGUCUUCUUGAACUUAUGCUUGAGCUCCAUUCGUCACUCAGACUACAUUUAUAUUUACAUACAAUUAUAUUUUUUUGUAAUUUCUUACAUUUUCAUUUGAAAAUAGGUACAGUAUCUUUUGUGUGAUGUGAUUUGUGUGAGCUCCAUUUUUGUGCACACAGAUCAUAAUCCCUUGGUGUUCUUGACCCACAUGUCUAACCCUAAUCAACGUUUAAUGUGUUGAAUAUUAUUUUGAUAUCCGGCACAAGAAAAUAAUUGACAAACAUCAUUGCCAAUGCCCUGUGCAGAUUUCAUUCCUUUGACAAUUAAAAAUGUGUUUUUUUUGUUUUUUUUGUGAUUCAUUAUAUUAUCUUAUAACCAGUGGGUGGCUUUGUGAAUCUUUUACCUCAUUUGUGUUGAACUUACUGAAGUAGUGUUUUUUUCCUUUGUUUAUCUGAUUGCACUCCAUGAUUGAGGGGAAUGGGAGAAGUGUUACCUUCUGAGUCUGUUUGAUUCAGCUGUUUUUGUUGUUGUUGUUGUUGUUGUUGUUGUUUUGCUUCACAAGUUUAAUGAUUAAAUUGUUUUUGUGGGGUUUGUAGGGAAGUGGGUGCAAUUUGUUUUGAAGUAGACCUUCCCCCUGUUAAUGUUAGUUGGGGAGUUAACUUAUUUUGCUGGAUUUUUGUUUUCUGCCUUUUUAGUUUAGUUAUAGUUGGUUCAUAAGGAGUGAGUUAUUUUUGUUGUUUUAGCAAUAUCCCAAAAUCUUUUACAAAAUAUAAAAAUUGUGAUUUGCAGUUUUGUUUCAUAAAGAAUUUCAGUAUGUACAAAAUGAUUGCAAAAGCAAAAUUCAUGUGAUCCUCACUAUGGAAAAGAAGCUCCUGCUAAACUGGAGUGAGUCCUGCUUUUCACUGAACUGAUUCUGGCUGCAAGUGAAACUCUUCAGGAUAUUUCUGUGGUCUGAUGGAAAAAGAUUUCCCUUGAGUCUCAGCCGAGCAGAAAUAUGAUGCUGACUGUAACAAGAAUACAGACAGGAGAAAAACACAGUGGUCUUAUUUUUCCCCUGAAUAAUCGCACAGCAGAAACCACCAAACUUAAGAUCAGGGUAAAGCAUCAUCAGACGUGCCAGCUCUAAUUUUGCACUCUUUAGAUCCUGUAGUUUCAGGAGACCUGCUAAUUUGAGAAUUUCUUUCAAACAGUCCAUAUUUGAUCCCUGUGAUAAUGAAAUUUCACUGUGUUUGAUUUAAACUUGUGUUAGUAUGGUAUACAAAAUUUUGGGAUUGGCUUGAAUCUGUGGAACUGUUGGACUAUUAAUGUCAAUGUCAAACUUUUUCAAAAAUAACCUACUGUAUUCUCCAACUGGCCACUGUAAUGUGGAUUAUGAAAAAAUAAACCUCAGAGAAUUUAUGGUAACUGUGUCUUG
ensembl:lncRNA